GACGAACGCUGGCGGCGUGCCUAAUACAUGCAAGUCGAGCGCAGGAAACCAGAUGACCCCUUCGGGGUGAUUCUGGUGGAAUGAGCGGCGGACGGGUGAGUAACACGUGGGCAACCUGCCUGUAAGACUGGGAUAACUUCGGGAAACCGGAGCUAAUACAGGAUAGUAUUUCAUUUCUCCUGAUUGGAAAUGGAAAGACGGUUUCGGCUGUCAAUUACAGAUGGGCCCGCGGUGCAUUAGCUAGAUGGUGGGGUAAUGGCCCACCAAGGCGACGAUGCAUAGCCGACCUGAGAGGGUGAUCGGCCACACUGGGACUGAGACACGGCCCAGACUCCUACGGGAGGCAGCAGUAGGGAAUCUUCCGCAAUGGACGAAAGUCUGACGGAGCAACGCCGCGUGAGCGAUGAAGGCCUUCGGGUCGUAAAGCUCUGUUGUUAGGGAAGAACAAGUACGAGAGUAACUGCUCGUACCUUGACGGUACCUAACCAGAAAGCCCCGGCUAACUACGUGCCAGCAGCCGCAGUAA
rnacentral:rRNA from 1 species